GGGCGAAUGGUUUAGUGGUAUAACGCUUCCUUAGCAUGGAAGAGGUCCGGGGUUCGAUUCCCCGUUUGUCCA
rfam:Magnaporthe poae ATCC 64411 unplaced genomic scaffold supercont1.8, whole genome shotgun sequence.